AUUUGGUGAUGAGGGCAGUGAGUUAACAUUCCCUCGAAUCUAGACCAGUAAUCAUACAAGGAUUCCCCUUUAUUUUGUCUAACACUAUAAAUCUCCUUCUUCAAUGU